UACAGAGGAGCCAAGCGUUGUCCGGAUUGACUGGGCGUAAAGCGCACGCAGGCGGUCUGGCGCGUGGGGUGUGAAAUCUGGCCGCUUAACGGCCAGGCGCCAUCCCAUACUGCCGGACUGGAGCCUUGCAGAGGUCGGUGGAAUUGCCGGUGUAGUGGUGAAAUGCGUAGAGAUCGGCAGGAACACCCAGGGGGAAACCAGCCGACUGGGCAAGUGCUGACGCUGAGGUGCGAGAGCGUGGGGAGCGAACCGG
rnacentral:rRNA from 1 species